UUUCUUCUUCUUCCUUUUUCCAAUUCUCCUUUCCUCUUUUAUCUUCAUCCCUUCUCUUCUUCUUUCUCUCAACCGAAACAGAGUGAGAGAGAGAUCAAAAGGAGGGUUGAGAGAGAGAUGGAAACAGAGGAGAGACCCGGAGAGAGUGAGAGAGAGAGAGAGAGAGGCCAGUUGGUUGCCGGAGGGAGCGAACCCGUGCGCAGAGCCGACGAACGGAGGCCCGGUGGGUGGACUGGGUCAACGUCGAAGAACCCAGAGGGGAACCCGACUGUCCAUGGUCGCCUGAGGGGCGAUUUCCGGCCGAUCAUCGGUGGUUGACGAGGGUGAUGAUUUCCGGCGGCCUGUGAUGCGAUUCCGGCGAGUGACUCCGACUGAUUUCACCAUUUUCUUGGUGGAUUUUCUGGAUAACAAGUUAAGGGAUUGCGGAUGUAACUGAUAAGUGGAGAAAGAAUGUCAGAAUUACCCAGAUGGUUAAACAGAUCCUAGUAUUGGAUUUUGAGACUGUGUUACUUCUCUUUUAGUGGGCUAUUACGUUUUAAUUUUGGAAUGCAAUAUGUUUAAAGAUGUUUGUAUUUAAUAGGUUUUUCCAUGUAAUUUUGGAAUGCAAUAUGUUGAUGUAUAAUUAAACAAUUUCUGAAUGAAUAUCUAGAAGUAUUUUGGUUA